GACGAACGCUGGCGGCGUGCUUAACACAUGCAAGUCGAACGGAAAGGCCCUGCUUUUGUGGGGUGCUCGAGUGGCGAACGGGUGAGUAACACGUGAGUAACCUGCCCUUGACUUUGGGAUAACUUCAGGAAACUGGGGCUAAUACCGGAUAGGAGCUCCUGCUGCAUGGUGGGGGUUGGAAAGUUUCGGCGGUUGGGGAUGGACUCGCGGCUUGUCAGCUUGUUGGUGGGGUAGUGGCUUACCAAGGCUUUGACGGGUAGCCGGCCUGAGAGGGUGACCGGCCACAUUGGGACUGAGAUACGGCCCAGACUCCUACGGGAGGCAGCAGUGGGGAAUAUUGCACAAUGGGCGGAAGCCUGAUGCAGCAACGCCGCGUGCGGGAUGACGGCCUUCGGGUUGUAAACCGCUUUCGCCUGUGACGAAGCGUGAGUGACGGUAAUGGGCAAAGAAGCACCGGCUAACUACGUG
rnacentral:rRNA from 1 species